CCUACGGGUGGCACCAGUAGGGAAUCUUCCACAAUGGGCGAAAGCCUGAUGGAGCAACGCCGCGUGUGUGAUGAAGGCUUUCGGGUCGUAAAGCACUGUUGUAUGGGAAGAACAGCUAGAAUAGGGAAUGAUUUUAGUUUGACGGUACCAUACCAGAAAGGGACAGCUAAAUACGUGCCAGCAGCCGCGGUAAUACGUAUGUCCCGAGCGUUAUCCGGAUUUAUUGGGCGUAAAGCGAGCGCAGACGGUUGAUUAAGUCUGAUGUGAAAGCCCGGAGCUCAACUCCGGAAUGGCAUUGGAAACUGGUUAACUUGAGUGCAGUAGAGGUAAGUGGAACUCCAUGUGUAGCGGUGGAAUGCGUAGAUAUAUGGAAGAACACCAGUGGCGAAGGCGGCCUUCUGGACUGUAACUGACGUUGAGGCUCGAAAGCGUGGGGAGCAAACAGGAUUAGAUACCCCCGUAGUC
rnacentral:rRNA from 1 species